rnacentral:misc_RNA from 1 species
AAUCUAUUCAACUUCCGGCGGUAAAACUAAAAUUUCCCACAUGUGAAAGUCAAAAACAAUGUCAAUAAUGAACUCCUUCUUUCUUCCUCGCUUAUUAAGCCCAAAACUCGGCACUUUGAUUCGUUUUAAUCCCACCGUCUCACUUCGCCCUAUUUUAACACAAUCUUUACGCCCUCAUGCAUGUAUUUUCGUGCAACCCCUUUCGUGUUUGACGCCAAAACGUUCGUCAUCUCAACAAGGUUUGUUUUCCCGGGGACACCAACAGACAAGGUGGAAACCGGCACCACCUUACAGAAGAAAGAGUUCUCAGGAAAAGAUGGAUCCAAGGAUCAUUUACAUGGUUUACGCUUCCAUAACCAUUGGUGCUUUACUUCUCGGCACUAUUCUGUUUUCUCGUCUGAAACUUAUUUACAAAAAAUAUAUUCAUGAUAUUCACACUUAUUACGAUGCACCUUUCGGUCGACGACAGAAACUGAUACAAUACAAAGGGGUUGUCCUACCCGCAAUGUUAGAAAACGAUUUACCUAAGAUUCGAGACUUUGACGUUAGACCAGACGAUGUGUGGGUGGUGUCUUGGCCACGGUCAGGAACUACGUGGGUUCAAGAAAUUGUUUACCUCAUCCAUUCAGAUCUUGACAUUUCACAAGAAGAAGAGAAAAACAUUGAACAACGAUUCCAUUUUCUUGAAAAUAUUUAUCCUGGACUACCUGCCAUAGCUGCUAAGGAAUCACCUCGACUGAUCAAAAGCCAUUUGCCCUUUCAACUCCUUCCAGAACAGCUUUCAACAGUCAAACCAAAAAUAAUUUAUGUUGUUAGAAAUCCAAAGGAUAUACUAAUUUCAUACUACAACUUCCUAAAAAUGUUGACACCUUUGAAAUUUGUUGGAACAUUUGAAGAAUUCUGCGAUAGGUUUACCAAAGAUAAAGUGUAUUAUUCCCCAUGGGGUAAACAUGUGAGAACUGCUGUGGAUUUGAACCAACAACAUCAUAACAUCCUCAUUGUUCAGUAUGAAGAUUUACAUAAGGACCUUGCUGGAAAUGUGCAGCGUAUUGCCAAAUUUCUUGGUAAGGAGUUAACACCGGAACAACUGUUGACUAUUUGCCAUCGAUGUCUGUUUAAGAAUAUGCGCCAGAAUAAAAGUGUCAACUACUCGUGGUGGGACGGCUAUGGGAUCCGAGAUCAAACCCAGACAGAAUUUCUUCGGCGAGGUAAAGUCGGAGAUUGGAAGCAUUAUUUGACACCAUUUUUCAGUCGAAGAGUUGAGAAAAUGGUGAAAGAUAACUUAACAGAUGUUAACCUAAAUAUUGAAUAUGAAUUGACUGUUCCACCAACCGUGGAGUGACAAGAUUAUAAGUUAACUACACAAACAUACACAAUUUCAUUCAGAUGGUAAAACUGAAUAAUCCUGUGACAGACCGAUAUCCCUUCAAGGGAAGAAUAUAUACACCAGAAAAACCAGGAAACCAGCCUUUUGAUCCUUACCAACAUGAUGUAUUGGUGAACAGUUAACAGAGAGCAUUAAGAUUAAAGAUGUUGAGAAAAGGCUGAGGCAUCCUGUUGAGCUAGAGAUGAUCUGGUUCUUCUCAGAUGAACAGAACUUCUUCCUGGACCAGUUGCACAACAUGCAGAACAACAGGUGAUUUACCUACAAUCCAUGUGAUGUAUCAGUCAUGAAAACCAAGUUCCUCCACAAACUGUGAUGUGUGUCUCCUAUGAGAGUGAUAUCAUGCAACCCCACAUCUUGAGCAGGGCCUUAGGAUCAAUUCAGAUGACCAUGUGAGACUGGUCAAACCAUGGCUGGUGAGGGUUGCUUCUGGAGGUCAUAUGUGUAGUAGCGAGAUUUGGCCACUUGCCAUACCUCUGGAAAGAGUCAGAAGUAGUUGGCAGAAAAUUUCUACAACUUCACCAGCCCCAAUUUCUGACCUUGCAAUUGUAAUCCUAUGGAUUACAGUGUGUAGGGUUUGGUUGAGAAAGAAACCAACAGCUCUGUCUGCAACACAGGCUGAGCUGGUGACCAAGACCAAGGAGAUGUUCAAAGAUCUUUGCAAGGACAUAAUGAGGAAGACAUGUGCCCACUUCCAGAGCCAUUUUAAGGCCAUGGUGAAAGCUGAAGACAGCUACUUUGAAUAAACUGUUAUCCCCCAGCCAUAUUCUAGUUGCUCUUUUUUCAUUUUUUAAAAUACUUCAAUUUUUGAAUGAGAUAUCGUGUUUUCUUUUCCUUUUUUUGCAAUGUAUCAAAUUUAGCCUGAACACCAUGUAUGUAUGUGUGCACAUGUGUGUGUGCUUACACACACACAUAUAUAUUAGGAUGUUUGGAAAGUAACUGCGUUUUUUUCACCAAUAUAAAAUAUGAAUCAACCAAUCAUGUCAGAGCCAAGUUUGAAUGAGUGGAAACUGUCUAGAAAUAGUAUAUCGUCUCUUCUAUCCAGCAGCGUGUCAUUCAUAGUUAUUUUGGUAAUUAACUCCAUGGAGGAUGAGAACUUUAUGAAACCACAUAUUUGCCAUUGCUUACUGUAUGAGCUUCAAAAGAAAAGUACUGCUAAAGAAGCUAUGAAAAAUAUUUUUGAAGUGUAUCUGGAUGCAGUGACAACUCGUACAUGUUGACUGUGAUUUAAAAGGUUUAAAUAUGGUGAUUGUAACAUAUUUGACAAGCCUCGCUCUAGAAGACAACCCACUCUGAAGGAUGACCUUUUGAAUGAGACUACUGUAUCAGAUCCACAUCAAAGAACCAGAGAUUUGGCACAAAAAUUUGAUGUGUAAUGUUAAACUAUCCAUGAGCAUUUCAAGCAAAUUGGGAAAACAUGCAGAGGGAAUUUAGGUUCUACAUGAGCUUACACUUGAGAGCUGAACACGACAUUCCACCAUCUGCAGUAGUCCUCUAACCAGGAAUAACAACCUGUCAUUUUUGCAGUGCAUUGUUACAGGUGAUGAAAAAUGAGUUCUACAUCACAACAGAAAACAAAAAAAAGAACAAUGAUUAUUAUGUAAUGAGAAGGCAGUACCAACACCAAAACCAAAACCAGAACUCCAUCCACAAACAUCUUUGAUCUGUGUUUGGUGGAACAUAAAAGGUAUCAUCCAUUACAAGCUACUGGAACAUGGAAGGACCAUCAAUGCAGAUGUCUGUUGCCAACAACUUGAUCAUGUAAAUGAAAAAUUAAGUUGAAAAUGGCCAGCUUUGGAAAACAGUAAAGGUGUUAUUCUCCAACAUGGACACACUCUUCAAAGCAAACCCAAGAAAAAAUAAGAUCAUUAAGAUGGGAAGUUCUACAUCCUCCAUACUCACCUGACUUAGCACCUAUGGAUUUCCAUCUGUUCCAAUCACAAGAACAUUUUAUAAGUGGCAAAACAUUCAGAAACAGAGAGGAAGUUGAAAACAGUCUUUGAGACUUUUUUUUCAGGAAAAGAAAUAGGUUUCUUUGAACGUGACAUGAAAAUGUUACUUUUCCAUUGGGCUGCAGUUGUUAAAAACAUUGGUGAUUACAUUCUUAAUUAAGACUAUUUAAAUAAA